GUGGGGAAUCUUGCGCAAUGGGCGAAAGCCUGACGCAGCCAUGCCGCGUGGAUGAUGAAGGUCUUAGGAUUGUAAAAUCCUUUCACCGGUGAAGAUAAUGACUGUAGCCGGAGAAGAAGCCCCGGCUAACUUCGUGCCAGCAGCCGCGGUAAUACGAAGGGGGCUAGCGUUGCUCGGAUUUACUGGGCGUAAAGGGCGCGUAGGCGGACAUUUAAGUCAGGGGUGAAAUCCCGGGGCUCAACCUCGGAACUGCCUUUGAUACUGGGUGUCUUGAGUAUGAGAGAGGUGAGUGGAACUCCGAGUGUAGAGGUGAAAUUCGUAGAUAUUCGGAAGAACACCAGUGGCGAAGGCGGCUCACUGGCUCGAUACUGACGCUGAGGUGCGAAAGCGUGGGGAGCAAACAGGAUUAGAAACCCGGGUAGUCC
rnacentral:rRNA from 1 species